UACGAGUGCCCCAAGCGUUAUCCGGAAUUAUUGGGCGUAAAGGGUGUGUAGGUGGCGAUGUUAGUCUUCUGUCAAAUUCUUCGGCUUAACCGGGGGUCUGCAGGGGAAACGGCAUUGCUCGAGUGUGCAAGGGGUGAAUGGAACUCAUGGAGUAGGGGUGAAAUCCGUUGAUAUCAUGGGGAACACCAAAAGCGAAGGCAAUUCACUGGUGCAUUACUGACACUGAAACACGAAAGCGUGGGUAGCGAACGGG
rnacentral:rRNA from 1 species